UAGCACCCUGAAGCAGGCCCUCAAAGUCUUCAAGCAGCAAGUAGACAGUGUGGCACAAUGUCACAUUCGGCUUGCGCAGACUCUAAGAGAAGAGGCCAGGAAGAUGGAAGAAUUCAGGGAAAAGCAGAAGCUACAAAGGAAAAAGACAGAGCUUGUAAUGGAUGCUGUCCAUAAACAAAAGAGCUUACAAUUCAAGAAAACCAUGGAAG